CUCUGCUCAGCUCCCUCGCGCGCCGCCCGCAGAGUGAGGCUGGGAGCCGGAAUAUGACAUCAUCAACCCAGCUCCCAGCCUCACUCUGCGGGCGGCGUGCGAGGGAGCUGAGCAGAG